rnacentral:rRNA from 1 species
UCCUGGCUCAGGACGAACGCGGGCGGCGUGCUUAACACAUGCAAGUCGAGCGGUAAGGCCCUUCGGGGUACACGAGCGGCGAACGGGUGAGUAACACGUGAGCAAUCUGCCCUUCACUUUGGGAUAACCACCGGAAACGGUGGCUAAUACCGAAUACGACCACUUCCUGCAUGGGAUGGUGGUGGAAAGUUCCGGCGGUGGAGGAUGAGCUCGCGGCCUAUCAGCUUGUUGGUGGGGUAAUGGCCUACCAAGGCAACGACGGGUAGCCGGCCUGAGAGGGUGACCGGCCACACUGGGACUGAGACACGGCCCAGACUCCUACGGGAGGCAGCAGUGGGGAAUAUUGGACAAUGGGCGAAAGCCUGAUCCAGCAACGCCGCGUGAGGGAUGACGGCCUUCGGGUUGUAAACCUCUUUCAGUAGGGACGAAGCGCAAGUGACGGUACCUACAGAAGAAGCACCGGCCAACUACGUGCCAGCAGCCGCGGUAAUACGUAGGGUGCGAGCGUUGUCCGGAAUUAUUGGGCGUAAAGGGCUCGUAGGCGGUUUGUCGCGUCGGGAGUGAAAACACGGGGCUUAACCCCGUGCCUGCUUCCGAUACGGGCAGACUAGAGGUAUGCAGGGGAGAACGGAAUUCCUGGUGUAGCGGUGAAAUGCGCAGAUAUCAGGAGGAACACCGGUGGCGAAGGCGGUUCUCUGGGCAUUACCUGACGCUGAGGAGCGAAAGUGUGGGGAGCGAACAGGAUUAGAUACCCUGGUAGUCCACACCGUAAACGUUGGGCGCUAGGUGUGGGACUCAUUCCACGAGUUCCGUGCCGCAGCUAACGCAUUAAGCGCCCCGCCUGGGGAGUACGGCCGCAGGGCUAAACUCAAAU